rnacentral:rRNA from 1 species
UACGUAGGGGGCUAGCGUUGUCCGGAAUCAUUGGGCGUAAAGAGCGUGUAGGCGGCUCGGUAAGUCCGCUGUGAAAGUCCAGGGCUCAACCCUGGAAUGCCAGUGGAAACUGUCGAGCUAGAGUCCGGAAGAGGCGAGUGGAAUUCCUGGUGUAGCGGUGAAAUGCGCAGAUAUCAGGAGGAACACCAUGGCGAAGGCAGCUCGCUGGGACGGUACUGACGCUGAGACGCGAAAGCGUGGGGACGCAAACAGG